rnacentral:rRNA from 1 species
UAGGUACAGAGGGCAGCUACCCAGUGAUGGGAUGCGAAUCUCGAAAGCCUAUCUCAGUUCGGAUCGGAGGCUGAAACCCGCCUCCGUGAAGUUGGAUUCGCUAGUAAUCGCGCAUCAGCCAUGGCGCGGUGAAUACGUUCCCGGGCCUUGUACACACCGCCCGUCAAGCCAUGGAAGCUGGGGGUGCCUGAAGUUCGUGACCGCAAGGAGCGACCUAGGGCAAAACCGGUGACUGGGGCUAAGUCGUAACAAGGUACC